CUCGGCGGCUUGGUUGGUUUGUUGGGAGCGGGGGAGAGGCUUGCGGCGAGUGCCUGGAUGGCGAGCUGCAAUGCCAUGGCGGAUCUCAAUGGGUCCAGGUGUGCACAGCCAUCUAUUUCGGAUAAGAGUUUUCAGAGUAGUAAGAGGAUGGGGACAGACAAAGAUAGCUGCUGAUUGCAUCAACUUCCGAAAACGAAAGCUGAGGGGCCAAUAUAUGGUUUUCUUCUCUCUUUUCCCCUUUAUCUCCAUGCAUGUGCUAACUCCUAAAAUUUCACUGCGCAAUACCAAUAAAGAAAGGGAUAAUGCUUUUCGA